AAGUCGAACGAACGGAUUGAGGAGCUUGCUCUUCAAGAAGUUAGUGGCGGACGGGUGAGUAACACGUGGGUAACCUGCCCUUCAGCGGGGGAUAACAUCCGGAAACGGGUGCUAAUACCGCAUAGUUUCUUUUUCCGCCUGGAAGAAGAAGGAAAGAUGGCCUUUGUGCUAUCACUGAGGGAUGGACCCGCGGCGUAUUAGUUAGUUGGUGGGGUAAUGGCCUACCAAGACGAUGAUACGUAGCCGACCUGAGAGGGUGAUCGGCCACAUUGGGACUGAGACACGGCCCAAACUCCUACGGGAGGCAGCAGUAGGGAAUCUUCCGCAAUGGACGAAAGUCUGACGGAGCAACGCCGCGUGAGUGAAGAAGGUUUUCGGAUCGUAAAACUCUGUUGUCGGAGAAGAACAAGUAGGAGAGUAACUGUUCCUACCUUGACGGUACCCGACCAGAAAGCCACGGCUAACUACGUGCCAGC
rnacentral:rRNA from 1 species